GAUGAACGCUGGCGGCGUGCUUAACACAUGCAAGUCGAACGAUGAAGCCCAGCUUGCUGGGUGGAUUAGUGGCGAACGGGUGAGUAACACGUGAGUAACCUGCCCUUAACUCUGGGAUAAGCCUGGGAAACUGGGUCUAAUACCGGAUAGGAGCGUCCACCGCAUGGUGGGUGUUGGAAAGAUUUAUCGGUUUUGGAUGGACUCGCGGCCUAUCAGCUUGUUGGUGAGGUAAUGGCUCACCAAGGCGACGACGGGUAGCCGGCCUGAGAGGGUGACCGGCCACACUGGGACUGAGACACGGCCCAGACGCCUACGGGAGGCAGCAGUGGGGAAUAUUGCACAAUGGGCGCAAGCCUGAUGCAGCGACGCCGCGUGAGGGAUGACGGCCUUCGGGUUGUAAACCUCUUUCAGUAGGGAAGAAGCGAAAGUGACGGUACCUGCAGAAGAAGCACCGGCUAACUACGUG
rnacentral:rRNA from 1 species